GGGGAUUUAGCUCAGUGGUCCCAGCGCCUGCCUCACAAGCAGAAGGACCUGAGUUCAGUCCCCA
rnacentral:tRNA from 1 species